rnacentral:snoRNA from 1 species
CUGCAACCAAUUAAGCCGACCAUCCUCUUCCUGUGGGGGCUGGUGUGCAAUGGCUGCAAACAGCAAGCCUCCUAGAUAGUGUAUGCACACUAUUGGUAUGUAUAGGCUACCCUAAGGGACCUUGGAGACAACC